rnacentral:misc_RNA from 1 species
CUCAUUCCAUGAUGGGUCCCGUACCUGCUGCUAUCCAGGAACGACUGCAGAAUUUGACAGAUUAUGUAAAGCCCAUUCUUGCCGGCUACCUGGACCUGGAGUACGCGUGGUGGCAGGUCUGGCUGCUGUGGCCCGUCAUCGCGCUGCUCGUCAUCCCCGCCUCGCUGCUGGCCUCCCUCUUCCUGUCGGCCUUCUUCGUGGAGUGCUACCGACACUGGCACGGUCUGCGGGCGGCGUACGAGCAGAGUAUAUGGGACGGCGCGCGCUACACAGUCUGCGUCUGCUGGAAGGUGCACGGCAGGAUAUGGCACGGGUACGAGGUGAGCGGCCUGGAGAACCUGCCGUCGGGCCCGGCCAUCAUCGUGUUCUACCACGGCGCCAUCCCGAUCGACCACUACUACCUGCUCUCGGAGGUGCUCACCAGCAGCGGCCGGCUCAUCAAGACGGUCGGCGACCGCUUCCUCUACAGGAUACCAGGCUGGAAGCAGCUGAUGAGCGUGUUCUGCGUGAUCCCUGGCGGCCAGGCCAACUGUCUGGCGGCGCUGCAGCGCGGCGAUCUGCUGGCCAUCUCGCCGGGCGGCGUGCGCGAGGCCUUCUUCGGCCAGGGCUACCGACUCGUCUGGAAGGACCGCGUCGGCUUCGCCAAGGUGGCCGUCGAGGCCAGAGUGCCGAUCGUGCCCAUGUUCACGAUGAACGUGCGCGAGUCGUACCGCUCGUUCGUGGUGGGCCGCCGCUUCUGGACCUGGCUGUACGAGCGCACGCGGCUGCCGCUCGUACCCAUCUACGGCGGAUUCCCGGUGAAGAUGCGGACCUACCUGGGCCGGCCCAUCCACCACGAGGAGGGCACCACGCCCGAGCAGCUGGCGCUCAAGGUCCAGGUGGAGAUUAACCGUCUGAUCGAGGAGCACCAGAAGCUGCCCGGCAACAUCCUGCGCGGAGUCCUGGAGAGGAUCAUCGAGUGGCCAAAGUCCAAGGCCUCGUAGCGCGGCGGGGCGGACCGGGACGCGCGGCCCGCCCCAGCUGCAGCAGGACCGCCGUCCGGCGGACCAGUGCGGUAGGGUCUGAGCGUCCCCGGACGUACCGGGCCCGGGAGUAUGUACCACGCGGUGCCUUAGUGACGGGGCGCCCCGUGCAAUACUGUAAUCGUGCGCCCCGUGUCCGCGCGGAGGUGGCCUGUAAGUUACGAGCUUCUGCGGAGAUUAGCGCGGAGCAGCCGGCCAAAGAGCGCAGCUGUUGGAGCGUCGGGAGGCGCCGCCCGGCGGAGAUGCGAUGUGAACUGUGUUACAUAUCAGUAGUGGGACCGCGCAGACGGGACGCGUCGGUCGGCCGCGCUUAUGCAAUAGGGGCGGGUCCCUGCCGUCCCCCGUACCGUGUCUACUGUAGAACCCGCAGUAUAACCCUCGCCGUACGCGGACACCGGACCCGGCCAACCGAUCUCAGCCGACCCAGCCCCGCCCAGCGGCCAUUUACACACCUCGAGGGGCGCGGCCUGUCCAGGGGUCCGCCAUGUUCUGUACACACCUAGGAGCGGGGCCUGCCCGUGGUCCGCCAUGUUCUGUACACCCCUAGGAGCAGGGCCUGUCACGGGGCCUGCCAUGUUCUGUACACCCCGUUGCGGCGUAUUCGCCGAGUCGGGCGGUGUUUUUUUAGUAUUGUCCGUGUAAUGGGUGACGGCGUGUAUAACGCGGCUGCAGUUGACGCCUAUAUCCCGUGUGUGACCGCCUGUACCGUUUUGUGAAUUAUGUGUGAGAGUGUUCCUCAGUCAUUCCCCAGUGUUCCGGAGCAGCGGGGCUGCCACAGGGUCGGUGCUAUGAGGGCCAGAGUGGCCCAUAGGAGGUGUGUCACGCUGGCACACGUGACGGUGUAUGCAGUGUUGGUGUCUUGGAGGCGAGCCCCUGGCUGUCUGAAAUACAUAUACGACAUGA